rnacentral:rRNA from 1 species
CAGUCGCCGCGGGAAUACGUAGGGUGCAAGCGUUAAUCGGAAUUACUGGGCGUAAAGCGUGCGCAGGCGGUUUGUUAAGACAGAUGUGAAAUCCCCGGGCUCAACCUGGGAACUGCAUUUGUGACUGGCAAGCUAGAGUAUGGCAGAGGGGGGUGGAAUUCCGCGUGUAGCAGUGAAAUGCGUAGAUAUGCGGAGGAACACCGAUGGCGAAGGCAGCCCCCUGGGCCAAUACUGACGCUCAUGCACGAAAGCGUGGGGAGCAAACAGGAUUAGAUACCCCAGUAGUCCCUGUCUCUUAUAC